rnacentral:lncRNA from 1 species
AUGGGAAAGAGGUGCAUCCAUUUAUAAGAAAGUUAAAAGUGUUAGUUGUUUUGUACUCAUAAAAUCUAGGCUUCAACUUAAGCUAUUUAAGAGAUAAAUUUUAAAGGAAUUUGUAGUGGUAUUUUCUUAUUUUGUUAAUACAAUGCUAACAGAUUGUUGAAAUAAUGCAGUUUUACCAGAACAUAUAAUACGUAAUCUAAUGGAACAGGACACAUUAAAAUGGAUAUUCGUAGGUAGAAAAGGC